rnacentral:rRNA from 1 species
GAAGAAGAAGCACCGGCUAACUACGUGCCAGCAGCCGCGGUAAUACGUAGGGUGCGAGCGUUAAUCGGAAUUACUGGGCGUAAAGCGUGCGCAGGCGGUUUCGUAAGUCAGAUGUGAAAGCCCCGGGCUUAACCUGGGAAUUGCGUUUGAAACUGCGAGGCUAGAGUGUGUCAGAGGGGGGUAGAAUUCCACGUGUAGCAGUGAAAUGCGUAGAGAUGUGGAGGAAUACCGAUGGCGAAGGCAGCCCCCUGGGAUAACACUGACGCUCAUGCACGAAAGCGGGGGGAGCAAACAGGAUUAGAUACCCUGGUAGUCCACGCCCUAAACGAUGUCAACUAGUUGUCGGGAGGGUAA